rnacentral:rRNA from 1 species
GACGUAGGGCGCGAGCGUUGUCCGGAUUUAUUGGGCGUAAAGAGCUCGUAGGCGGCUUGUCGCGUCGACUGUGAAAAACCCGCGGCUCAACUGCGGGCCUGCAGCCGAUACGGGCAGGCUAGAGUUCGGUAGGGGGAGACUGGAAUUCCUGGUGUAGCGGUGAAAAUGCGCAGAUAUCAGGAGGAACACCGAUGGCGAAGGCAGAUCUCUGGGCCGUAACUGACGCUUGAGGAGCGAAAAGCGUGGGGGAGCGAAACAGG